rnacentral:rRNA from 1 species
GGGGAAUCUUGCGCAAUGGGCGAAAGCCUGACGCAGCAACGCCGCGUGGGGGAUGAAGGCUCUCGGGUUGUAAACCCCUUUCAGCAGGGACGAAUCAAGACGGUACCUGCAGAAGAAGCCCCGGCUAACUACGUGCCAGCAGCCGCGGUAACACGUAGGGGGCAAGCGUUGUCCGGAUUUAUUGGGCGUAAAGAGCUCGUAGGUGGCUGAGUAAGUCGGAUGUUAAAUCCCCAGGCUCAACCUGGGACACCACCCGAUACUGCUCUGGCUAGAGUCCGGUAGGGGAGCGUGGAAUUCCUGGUGUAGCGGUGAAAUGCGCAGAUAUCAGGAGGAACACCAGCGGCGAAGGCGGCGCUCUGGGCCGGUACUGACACUGAGGAGCGAAAGCGUGGGUAGCAAACAGGAUUAGAUACCCUGGUAGUCCACGCCGUAAACGUUGGGCACUAGGUGUGGGGUCUAUUCAACGGACUCCGUGCCGUAGCUAACGCAUUAAGUGCCCCGCCUGGGGAGUACGGCCGCAAGGCUA